GCUUCUCUUUCCCGGCAUCGAUGACGCCCAAUCUUCAGUGUGGCGUACAGCCUUGGAGUAGCAGCGGACAGCGGGGCUGCAAACUCCAGCUCCAAUGGCAUUGACAGCAGCUUCCUGGGCAGUCUGUGGGCACCGUUAUUCUGCAAACUCCAGCUCCAAUGGCAUUGACAGCAGCUUCCUGGGCAGUCUGUGGGCACCAGGCUUGUUGAGCUGUGUUUGCAGCGGACAGCGGGGCUGCAAACUCCAGCUCCAAUGGCAUUGAACUUUCUGAAGAAAUUACACUACAUGUUUGCAGAUGCCUUAGCUUCUCCUCACCAUCAGCGACCACCCCUCCUCCUCGCACCAGAUUGAGCAGCAGGCUGGGCAGAGCAGAGCGGAGCGAACGGGCCAUGCCAGAACCAGCAUAACACGGUCGCGGGCGGAGAGGGCGAGGCUGAGUCGCUGGACUACGACCUGGUGGAGGAGGAAAUCCAGGGCUCGGGUUUCAUCUACAUGGUCGACUGCUCGGGUGUUGUGCCGCGGGUCAGUGCUUGGAUGCUCUUCAACGCCUUCGUCUUUAUUGUCUCCUACACCUUUGGCUACAUGCUUGGCCAACAUGACGGCCCAUGCAGCAAGUUUGAGGCCGACCGCAACCACGACAUUGACGGCAUCCAUAACAAUCAUGUAUCCUUCGACAUCUGAUUCGACCACUGCUCCCUCGUCGACUACGACGACGGGCUCAUCGACAUCACAGUCUCCAGAUGGAGAGACCAGAGUUGGAAUGCUUGCUCUUCUUGACAUGCAGAGAGGGGAGAAGCUGACAUAUGACUAUAAAUAUGUCCAGUUUGGAACAGAUCACAAUUGUCAUUGGGGAUCUUUAAACUGCAGAAAAGUGGUUGGCACGUCUAGGUCGGUCAACUCACUUGUUCUCCGCAAUGGCAACUCAGCAAGCUGGCAAGAUUAGCACAGACAUGAAGAAAAGAAAGACAUCCUCAGAUAAUUGUAUUGCGAGGAUCAUCCAUUUAUGGUAUUGACGGCACAACAUGUAUGCCUUCACAGCUUCAAAUCUGGUUUAACCUGUCAAGCGUGGGUCCAACCAUGGUGUUGCAAGCUCGGCAGCGACCCCUAGGUGAACUGCAGCGACGUCACAAAUUCAGACCGCAAGGCGGCCCACGCGUCGCGUGCCGCCGCCUCGCUCUCUCCGGCGCCACCGACGCGCCCCAUCACGCCUCCCCUCCCACCCACACGGCCGCGGGAGAGGGGCCCUCCUGCUCCCCGACCGCCGAUGACCCCGUCCUCCUCAGCGUCAACGACAACCGCGUGCCCCUCGAGGGUGUCAUCCAGGUCGAGAGGCUCAGCCAGGCCGACGCCCAGUCCAAGCUCGUCUCCUACGCGAAGACAGGGCUUCUGGCAGGAGGGGAUCUGCUUUUCCUCCUGAUCUUCUUCGUAAUUGGGAGGUUGAGCCAUGGCCUACCCGUGCUUCUAAGAUUCUUUGUCUGCUUGGAGCGUCCCGAUGCAGGCUUAGUCCACGUGAGGAGCUCGCUCGUUGUGGAUCUUACCCUGGUGCCAAUGCCAUGGACAAGGUGCCCUCUCCACCUCUUCUCUGUGUGUUCGAUUUGAAGCUGGUGCUCUGUUUGUAAAGCUCAGGGCGGGGGCAGGAGGUCAUGGUGAACCCAACGCCCAUAGGCGGAGGCAACAAGAGUUGGUGGAGUGGCGGAUGCGGCCGGUGUCGGCAGUUGAGGGAGGCUCGCCGGCCGGAGUGACAUGAGUAGUCCGAUAAUCGGGUCGCAAGAGGCUGCUCUCCUUUGCUGAGGUCGGCUACUAAUUCCAAUUUGUGCGCGGUUGCGUGUGUAAAGUGGCUGCCUUGUGCAGUUGAGGAACAAAACAGAAAAAGGAAAGGAGUCAAUAAAGACCUGACCAACAGGAAAGCACAUGUGGCUAAAUUCUGUUAUAUGGUAUGUGAUAUUCAAAAUCAAGACACUGUAUAUUGAUAGUGACCCAUAUGUUACUUAAAUCUAUUUGAAGUAACAUCUCCAUUAUUAUCUCCCCUUCCCACUAAAGAGGUUUCAAAGGAAAUAGAGCGAAUUGGCCAACUUUUUCUACACAUACGCUGAUAGCCAUCCAGCAUGAUUGAGUCUGCUAUGGGUGUUGGAGGAAAUAGAUUUUGGUCCAUCAGAGUCUACUUGGAAGCUGACAAUACAUGCUAUGCCUCUUUGAUAAUAAAGCAGGAAUCAUGGUGGUUGGAUACAAUGCAAUACUUUGAUGGCUGGCCGAAUCCAUCCAUCCCAUGAGUGCAAAGUAUACUUCUAUAAUUUCCUACAACAUACUCCCUCCGUUCCUAAAUGUAAGUCUGUAACACCCACGAUGCGGCUAUAUCUUCCACGUGUUGGAGUACGACUUAGAUGCAUAAACGCAUUGUAGGCAUGUCGCAAGAGGGGUAAUCUUUACACAUCCCAUGUACUGAAUAUG